rnacentral:tRNA from 3 species
CAAGAAAUAGUUUAAUUAGAAUUUCAGUUUUGGGUACUGAUGGUGUGGCUGUUAUGCUUCUUUCUUGA